AGASUUUGAUCCUGGGSUCASGACGAACGCUGGCGGCGUGCCUAACACAUGCAAGCUCGAGCGAUGAAAUCCUUCGGGAUGGAUUAGCGGCGGACGGGUGAGUAACACAUGGGUAACCUGCCUCAWASAGGGGGAUAGCCUCCCGAAAGGGAGAUUAAUACCGCAUAACAUUAUUUUUUCUSAUGGAASACUAAUUAAAGGAGAAAUCCGCUUUGAGAUGGACCCGCGUGCGCAUUACCUASUUGGAGAGGUAAAGGCUCACCAWGGCGACGAUGCGUAGCCGACCUGASAGGGUGAUCGGWCACAUUGGAACUGAGACACGGUCCAGACUCCUACGGGAGGCAGWAGUGGGGAAUAUUGCACAAUGGGCGAAAGCCUGAUGCAGCAACGCCGCGUGAGUGAAGAAGGCCUUCGUGGUUGUAAAGCUCUGUCUUUUGGGACGAUAAUGACGGUACCAAAGGAGGAAGCCACGGCUAACUACGUGCCAKCAGCCGCGGUAAU
rnacentral:rRNA from 1 species